UACGGGGGGGGCAAGCGUUGUUCGGAAUUACUGGGCGUAGAGCGCACGUAGGCGGAUUGUUAAGUCGGAGGAUGAAAUCCCAGGGCUCAACCCUGGAACUGCCUUCGAUACUGGCUAUCUCGAGUCCGGGAGAGGUGAGUGGAACUGCGAGUGUAGAGGUGAAAUUCGUAGAUAUUCGCAAGAACACCAGUGGCGAAGGCGGCUCACUGGCCCGGUACUGACGCUGAGGUGCGAAAGCGUGGGGAGCAAACAGGG
rnacentral:rRNA from 1 species